GGCAGACGGGUGAGUAACGCGUGGGAACGUGCCCUUCGGUUCGGAAUAACCCAGGGAAACUUGGGCUAAUACCGGAUACGUCCGCAAGGAGAAAGAUUUAUCGCCGAAGGAUCGGCCCGCGUCCGAUUAGCUUGUUGGUGAGGUAACGGCUCACCAAGGCUACGAUCGGUAGCUGGUCUGAGAGGAUGAUCAGCCACACUGGGACUGAGACACGGCCCAGACUCCUACGGGAGGCAGCAGUGGGGAAUAUUGGACAAUGGGCGCAAGCCUGAUCCAGCCAUGCCGCGUGAGUGAUGAAGGCCCUAGGGUUGUAAAGCUCUUUCGGCGGGGAAGAUAAUGACGGUACCCGCAGAAGAAGCCCCGGCUAACUUCGUGCCAGCCGCCGCGG
rnacentral:rRNA from 1 species